GAGUUUGAUCGUGGCUCAGAUUGAACGCUGGCGGCAGGCCUAACACAUGCAAGUCGAGCGGAUGAAGGGAGCUUGCUCCUGGAUUCAGCGGCGGACGGGUGAGUAAUGCCUAGGAAUCUGCCUGGUAGUGGGGGAUAACGUCCGGAAACGGGCGCUAAUACCGCAUACGUCCCGAGGGAGAAAGUGGGGGAUCUUCGGACCUCACGCUAUCAGACGAGCCUAGGUCGGAUUAGCUAGUUGGUGGGGUAAAGGCCUACCAAGGCGACGAUCCGUAACUGGUCUGAGAGGAUGAACAGUCACACUGGAACUGAGACGCGGUCCAGACUCCUACGGGAGGCAGCAGUGGGGAAUAUUGGACAAUGGGCGAAAGCCUGAUCCAGCCAUGCCGCGUGUGUGAAGAAGGUCUUCGGAUUGUAAAGCACUUUAAGUUGGGAGGAAGGGCAGUAAGUUAAUACCUUGCUGUUUUGACGUUACCAACAGAAUAAGCACGGCUAACUUCGUGCCAGCAG
rnacentral:rRNA from 1 species